rnacentral:rRNA from 1 species
UACGUAGGGGGCAAGCGUUAUCCGGAUUUACUGGGUGUAAAGGGAGCGCAGACGGCAGUGCAAGUCUGGAGUGAAAGCCCGGGGCCCAACCCCGGAACUUCUCUGGAAACUGUGCGGCUAGAGUACUGGAGGGGCAGGCGGAAUUCCUAGUGUAGCGGUGAAAUGCGUAGAUAUUAGGAGGAACACCAGUGGCGAAGGCGGCCUGCUGGACAGUAACUGACGUUGAGGCUCGAAAGCGUGGGGAGCAAACAGG